UACAUGGGGUGCAAACGUUGCUCGGAAUUAUUGGGCGUAAAGCGCGCGUAGGCGGUUACUUAAGUCGGAUGUGAAAGCCCUCGGCUUAACUGAGGAAGUGCACCCGAAACUGAGUAGCUGGAGUACGAAAGAGGGUCGCGGAAUUCCCGGUGUAGAGGUGAAAUUCGUAGAUAUCAGGAGGAACACCGAUGGCGAAGGCAGGUCUCUGGGCCACUACUGACGCUGAGAAGCGAAAGCAUGGGGAGCGAACAGG
rnacentral:rRNA from 1 species